GACGAACGCUGGCGGCGUGCUUAACACAUGCAAGUCGAACGGUGAAAGGGAGCUUGCUCCCUGGAUCAGUGGCGAACGGGUGAGUAACACGUGGGCAACCUGACCCAGACUUCGGGAUAACGCUUCGAAAGAGGUGCUAAUACCGGAUACGAACUCCUUGGGCAUCCUUGGAGUUGGAAAGUUUUUCGGUCUGGGAUGGGCCCGCGGCCUAUCAGCUUGUUGGUGAGGUAACGGCUCACCAAGGCGACGACGGGUAGCCGGCCUGAGAGGGCGACCGGCCACACUGGGACUGAGACACGGCCCAGACUCCUACGGGAGGCAGCAGUGGGGAAUAUUGCGCAAUGGGCGAAAGCCUGACGCAGCAACGCCGCGUGAGGGAUGACGGCCUUCGGGUUGUAAACCUCUUUCAGCAGGGAAGAAGCGAAAGUGACGGUACCUGCAGAAGAAGCACCGGCUAACUACGUGCCAGCAGCCGCGGUAAGAC
rnacentral:rRNA from 1 species